CAGAGGGACGUCCCUCGUUCUUCAUCUUCUUCAGCAAAGAGAACCCAAUUUUAUGCAAAAAAGAGCUGCGCAGAGGAACCCUACCCUCGUUAUUCACCUUCUUCAGCAAAGUGAACCCAAAUUUGUGCAAAAAAGAGCUGCGCAGACGAUCUCCGAAACACGCAUGCACACAGUGCUGGUUGCGAAAAACGAAGAUGGAUCGAGGUUUUCGAGUUCGAGUCGCCUGAUUACUGUUGGAGGUUGAAGUCUCAGUUAUUGGCGUUUUAACAC
rnacentral:lncRNA from 1 species